GCCAUGCGAGUCACAUAGCAAUAUGUGGCAUACGGCUCAGUAACACGUAGUCAACAUGCCCAGGGGACGUGGAUAACCUCGGGAAACUGAGGAUAAACCGCGAUAGGUCAUCACUUCUGGAAUGGGUAAUGACUUAAAUCUACAUGGCCCCUGGAUUGGACUGCGGCCGAUCAGGCUGUUGGUGAGGUAAUGGCCCACCAAACCUGUAACCGGUACGGGCUCUGAGAGGAGGAGCCCGGAGAUGGGCACUGAGACAAGGGCCCAGGCCCUAUGGGGCGCAGCAGGCGCGAAACCUCUGCAAUAGGCGAAAGCUUGACAGGGUUACUCUGAGUGAUUUCCGUUAAGGAGAUCUUUUGGCACCUCUAAAAAUGGUGCAGAAUAAGGGGUGGGCAAGUCUGGUGUCAGCCGCCGCGGUAAUACCAGCACCCCGAGUGGUCGGGACGUUUAUUGGGCCUAAAGCAUCCGUAGCCGGUUCUACAAGUCUUCCGUUAAAUCCACCUGCUUAACAGAUGGGCUGCGGAAGAUACUAUAGAGCUAGGAGGCGGGAGAGGCAAGCGGUACUCGAUGGGUAGGGGUAAAAUCCGUUGAUCCAUUGAAGACCACCAGUGGCGAAGGCGGCUUGCCAGAACGCGCUCGACGGUGAGGGAUGAAAGCUGGGGGAGCAAACCGGAUUAGAUACCCGGGUAGUCCCAGCUGUAAACGAUGCAGACUCGGUGAUGAGUUGGCUUAUUGCUAACUCAGUGCCGCAGGGAAGCCGUUAAGUUUGCCGCCUGGGGGAGUACGGUCGCAAGACUGAAACUUAA
rnacentral:rRNA from 1 species